GGAACCUCAGAGACAAUUGUCUCUGGUCAGAAAUUAAUAAUAUGAUUUGGUUUUCAUUGAGUUAGUUUCUACUUACAGUCAGUGAUGCUGGCUUUUCAUUUACGGUCAUGACAAACAAUUUCCUUUAAAGAGAUCUCAGAUUUUAAGAAGAAGAGUCCAUUUAAAGGAAAAUAUCCAGGAAAUAACAGCAGGUGCGGUAGGAAGGUGGUAUUGGACGGACCUUGAGAUUUGAGAAACUGAGGCUCCGGCAGCCUGACAGUUGCUAUGUGACCCAGAACAAGUUGCCUCGGCUCUCUGAUGCUCGGUUUUCUCCCUCUGAAAAUCCUGUAAAUAGUUUUGGUGAUUAGGUGAGAAGACACAGUUGCUUGACCCUGGGACUGGGUCUCUCCCUUGCCUCGCUCGUGUUUUGUCUUCCUGACUCAGAAAACAAGCUGGGGAUGGAAACUGACUCCUAAAGUGAGAAUAUAACUCCAUUGAGCACUAGAAGAAGAAGAAAACCUCAGAGCACCUCCACUUUCUCAUCUGGAAAAUGGGGAUGAUCCCAGUCCUACUCCCAGAAGGUCCCCCGAGAGCCAAGCCACCAAGUCUUAAAGAAAGGGUUAAACUAAAUCUAGAGCAGUGACAUUUACAAUGCAUGAAGUUUAAACAUUUUCAAUA
ensembl:lncRNA